CCACGAGUCAUCUGUAUGUCUUCCUUGAGAAAGUAUCUAAGCACAUCUCUUGCCGCCUCUUUGAGGGAGUUGUAUCGCUGUGUGAGCUCUUCAUCUAUUUUCGGUGCCAACUUCAUCUUUGAUAACACUGCUCACCCCUGGCUUAUGGUACUGUGGGGAAUUGAACCUGCAAUUUAGGAGCCUUGGGCAUAACCACCACCAGGCUCCAGAUGCUAAUAUGAUGCCAACCAGACUUCCCUGGACAGACAACCCCACCAAUGUGUCCUGGAGCUCUGCUUCCCCAGUGUCCUUCCCCACUAGGGAAAGAGAGAGGCAGACUGGGAGUAUGGACCGACCAGUCAACGUCCAUGUUCAUCGGGGAAGCAAUUACAGAAGCCAGACCUUCCACCUCCUGCAUUCCACAAUGACCUUUUGUCCUUACUCCCGGAGGGAUAAAGAAUAGGAAAGCUAUCGGGGGAGGGGAUGGGAUACGGAGUUCUGGUGGUGGCAAUAGUGUGGAGAUGUGCCCCUCUUAUCCUAUGGUUUUGCCAGUGUUUCCUUUUUAUUAUUUUUUUUCUUUUUGUGCCCCUCCCCAGUGUUUCCUUUUUAUAAAGAAAAGAAAAGAAA